GCAUAUCAAUAAGCGGAGGAAAAGAAACCAACAGGGAUUGCCUUAGUAGCGGCGAGUGAAGCGGCAAUAGCUCAAAUUUGAAAUCUGGCGUCUUCGGCGUCCGAGUUGUAAUUUGAAGAAGGUAUCUUUGGUUUUGGCUCUUGUCUAUGUUCCUUGGAACAGGACGUCACAGAGGGUGAGAAUCCCGUGCGAUGAGAUGCCCAAUUCCAUGUAAAGUUCCUUCGACGAGUCGAGUUGUUUGGGAAUGCAGCUCUAAGUGGGUGGUAAAUUCCAUCUAAAGCUAAAUAUUGGCGAGAGACCGAUAGCGAACAAGUACUGUGAAGGAAAGAUGAAAAGAACUUUGAAAAGAGAGUGAAAAAGUACGUGAAAUUGUUGAAAGGGAAGGGCUUGAGGUCAGACUUGGUUUUACCAGGCCAGCAUCAGUUUGGGUGGCAGGAUAAGUGCGUAGGAAAGUGGCUCCACUUCGGUGGUGUGUUAUAGCCUGCGUCGAUACUGCCUGCCCAGACUGAGGACUGCGUCUUUGACUAGGAUGCUGGCAUAAUGACCUUAAGCCGCCCGUCUGAAUCUUGGACCAUAUUCGUCUACGUACAUGCUUAGGAUGUUGACAUAAUGGCUUUAAACGACCCGUCUUGAAACACGGACC
rnacentral:rRNA from 1 species